rnacentral:lncRNA from 1 species
CUUCUCUGACCUUUAUUUUGAGUUAUUUAAUCUCCAUGACAAUGUUACAUUAUUUUAUCCAUUUACAUAUGAGGAAAUCUAGGCUUAACAAGCAUUAUACAAAAGAUUAGGUGGAUAAUAAGAAAUGGAACCACUAUUGGAGUCUAAACAAUCUGGCUCCAGGCUUUAUAUUCUUAACUACUAUACAAUAUUGUCUAUUUUAGUAUCUGUAGUAUAGGCUAGACUAAUAUAUAUUGGUUGAAUAAGGGAAUGUUUUGUUACGGCCUGUGUCUAGAUGUUCCCCCAAGACUCCUGCAGUCGUAGGGCUUUUUCUGAUGUAGCUGAAUCAAGAGUGUGUGAUGCUGGGACUAAAGGUGUGUGAUUACUAAUUCAGUCCACUGCUUGGUUUAGUACCACCCUAAUCCUGGUAGAAUGGAUAAGAUAAAAGGGGCAGAAAUACACUAUUAGGUUUCCCCUGUUGCUUUUGGUGUCUUCUGCCACUGUGAACUGUUGACCCUCCAUCAUGUGCCACCCUGUCUUGGAGCCAGCUGAUUAUGGAUUAUGGCUACAAACCGUGAGCUAAAUAAACCUUUUCCCCUUUUAAUUUGAUAUUUCAUAUUUUGUCACAGCAAUGAGAGAAAAGUAACUAAGACAUGUUUUAUAUUUUUAGUUUCCAUCAGAUACUAGUGAAACCAAGGGAAUGAUUGCAUAUGCUACCCUACAUUGAAUAUGAACAGAAGAAAUGCUAUUGUAUAAGAGAAAAGGAGCAAACAUGGAUUUCCAGAGCCUACUGAUGAGACACAUCAAGAACAACAAAGCAGUCACAUAUCUUCUUGUGAAGAUUAGAAGUACCCAUUAAUUCACUAAAACUAAG